GAUGAACGCUGGCGGCGUGCCUAAUACAUGCAAGUCGAGCGAACGGACGAGAAGCUUGCUUCUCUGAUGUUAGCGGCGGACGGGUGAGUAACACGUGGAUAACCUACCUAUAAGACUGGGAUAACUUCGGGAAACCGGAGCUAAUACCGGAUAAUAUUUUGAACCGCAUGGUUCAAAAGUGAAAGACGGUCUUGCUGUCACUUAUAGAUGGAUCCGCGCUGCAUUAGCUAGUUGGUAAGGUAACGGCUUACCAAGGCAACGAUGCAUAGCCGACCUGAGAGGGUGAUCGGCCACACUGGAACUGAGACACGGUCCAGACUCCUACGGGAGGCAGCAGUAGGGAAUCUUCCGCAAUGGGCGAAAGCCUGACGGAGCAACGCCGCGUGAGUGAUGAAGGUCUUCGGAUCGUAAAACUCUGUUAUUAGGGAAGAACAUAUGUGUAAGUAACUGUGCACAUCUUUACGGUACCUAAUCAGAAAGCCACGGCUAACUACGUG
rnacentral:rRNA from 1 species